ensembl:misc_RNA Y_RNA Y RNA
AGCUGGUCCAAAGGUAGUGAGUUAUCUCAGCUGGUUGUUCAGUCUGUUCUAGAUUGAACUCUUGUUCUACUCUUUCCCUCCUUCUCACUACUGCACUUGACUAGUCUUAA